ensembl:lncRNA
AGAAACUCAACUUGGGUUUUUCCUCUACCUGGAGGGAGGGCUGAGUGGAACACACCAAAGGUUUCUACCUUGCAGUCUUUGGCCCGAAUGGCAAAUGUAGUUUAAUGAAUCUCUCAGUGAAAAAAGAAGAAAAAGAUAAAAAGGAUGCUUUCGAAAGCUCAUGAUGCAAUCACAAGGAUCCACCCAGCGCCACCUGGGAAGCUCAGAUAUAUACAUACAUGUUGCUGAUUCUUGCUGUACAGCGGAAACAGAGACAGCAUUCUAAAGCAAUUAUACUCCAACUAAAACUAAACUUUAAAAAAUUACCUUAUGUACCUAUAAAAAGAAAGAGUCUUGUUUUCUUGAGGGGUGUGGUGAGGGUUACUAGUAUUUUCAAAGGGCCUGCCAAAAUGAG